ACUUUUAUACAUCUUCAAUAAAAGCUAUUGAAAUAAAAAAAGUCACACCAGAGGCUAUGCAUACUCUCAGUGUUCUGACCUAUGAACAUUUCUAUGAGUAGUAGCCUAAAGUU
ensembl:snoRNA LOC120101359 small nucleolar RNA SNORA17